rnacentral:rRNA from 1 species
AACGAACGCUGGCGGCAGGCCUAAUACAUGCAAGUCGAACGCUCUAGCAAUAGGGAGUGGCGCACGGGUGAGUAACGCGUGGGAAUGUACCCUUGGGUACGGAACAACACCGGGAAACUGGUGCUAAUACCGUAUAAUGACUAUGGUCCAAAGAUUUAUCGCCCAAGGAUCAGCCCGCGUUGGAUUAGCUAGUUGGUGAG